rnacentral:rRNA from 1 species
UACGGGGGGGGCAAGCGUUGUUCGGAUUCAUUGAGCGUAAAGGGUGCGUAGGCGGCGCGGUAAGUCGGAUGUGAAAUCUCGGGGCUUAACUCCGAAACUGCAUUCGAUACUGCCGUGCUUGAGGACUGGAGAGGAGACUGGAAUUUACGGUGUAGCGGUGAAAUGCGUAGAUAUCGUAAGGAAGACCAGUGGCGAAGGCGGGUCUCUGGACAGUUCCUGACGCUGAGGCACGAAGGCCAGGGGAGCAAACGGG